rnacentral:rRNA from 1 species
UGGCGGACGGGUGAGUAAUGUCUGGGAAACUGCCUGAUGGAGGGGGAUAACUACUGGAAACGGUAGCUAAUACCGCAUAACGUCGCAAGACCAAAGAGGGGGACCUUCGGGCCUCUUGCCAUCAGAUGUGCCCAGAUGGGAUUAGCUAGUAGGUGGGGUAACGGCUCACCUAGGCGACGAUCCCUAGCUGGUCUGAGAGGAUGACCAGCCACACUGGAACUGGGACACGGUCCAG